AUCAAUAAACCUCGCUUAAACCUCGUCCGUCCGGUCGUUCCGACGACCGAUGCUGCUCCCGCACCGGAGACCCAGCCACCGUCUUCUCCGGCAGCAGCCGCCCCCGCCCCCGCCCCCAUCCCAAACGCCGCCGCCGCCGCCCCGACGGCUCGGCCCUCCCGCGGAGGCUCCGCCACCACCUCGCCGCCGGGCCCCUCCCCUCGACCCGUCGGCCUACGCGGGCCUCCUCCGGGCCGCGUCGAGGGGGCGGUCGCUGCCGCUGGCCAGGCUGAUCCACUCCCACAUGCUCCGCGCCGGCUUCCACCCGGGCCUCUUCCUCCGCAACAACCACCUCGCCGCCUACUGCCGCGCCGGCGACAUGCGCCAUGCCCGCCUCCUGUUCGACGGAAUGCCGCACCGGGACGCCGUGUCCUGGAACACCCUCAUCGCCGGCUACUCCAGCCAGGGCGGGUCCGGCGCGCGCCUCGCGCUCGCCGCCUUCCGUGACGCGCGGGGCGGCGGCGUCCGGGCAGACAGGUUCACCUACGCCGCGGUGCUGGCGGCGUGCGGCAGGGCCGGGGACUGGAGGCAUGGCCGGGCGGCGCACGGGCUGGCCGUGGUGAGUGGGCUUGCGCAGGACGUGUUCCUGACCAACUCCACCAUUGACAUGUAUGCCAAGUGCGGGAUGAUUGACGAGGUGAGGCUGGUGUUCGACCGGGCUGAGGAGCGGGACGAGGCGUCGUGGAACCUGCUGCUGUCGGCGUACGUGCGCAUGGGGUGGCCGGAGGUCGCCGUGCACGUGCUCGUCUGGAUGCACCGGUCAGGGGUGAAGCUGGAUAGCUUUGCCUUGGGUGGGAUCCUCAAGGCUUGCUCCGAGCUCCAGGGCUCCGAGGAUGUCCGGAGGAUGCUGCACGGGUGUGUUGUUAAGGUUGGUUUGGACUUGGAUAUGUUUGUCGGGAGUGCCAUGGUGGACAUGUAUGCUAAGAACGGUGGACUUGAGGAGGCGAUCAAGGUGUUUGACUGCAUCCCGAAUCAGAAUGCGGUGGUUUACGGUGCCAUGAUCGCAGGGUUCGCUCGCUUAGGUAAUGACCCUUGCCCUGAGGUUAGGAUCGAAGCUGUCAGGCUUUUCUCGGAAUUGCUCCGGAUGGGUGUAAAACCGUCCAGGUUUACUUUCAAGAGUGUGCUCGAAGUCUGCAAUUUGACCAAUGCGGUGCACUGUGGGAGGCUGAUACACGCUCAUGUUAUAUUCAAUGGGUUUCAGGACGACGAGUUCAUAGCAAAUGCGCUGAUCAACUUGUACUCCCAAGCACGGUCAGUAAGUGACAGUCUGAGAUGCUUCCAGAUGACUCCCAGGCAAGAUGUCGUCACAUGGACAUCCAUGAUUACAGCAUUCGCGCAUGAUGAGAAUUUUGACAAGGCACUAGGCCUGUUCCUAGAGUUUCUUUCUGUUGGAAAAGAGCCAGACCAGUUCACUUUAUCGAGUGUGAUGACUGCCUGUGCUGCUCUGAGUCUACCAGCAACCUGUAAGCAGAUACACUGUUAUACGGUCAAAUCUGGACUCGGUCAGUUCACUGUGUGCGGCAAUUCUCAGAUUUCUAUGUAUAGGAAUAUAGGUGAUGUUGAAGCUUCAAAGAAGACAUUCGAGCAGAUUACAUGUCUGGAUAUAUUCUCAUGGUCUGCAAUGGUUUUGAGCUACGCAGUCCAUGGCCAUGAAGGCGAGGCUCUAGUGCUCCUGGAGAAGAUGAAGGAUUGUGGUGUCGUGAUAAAUGAUAUUGCUUUUCUUGCCGUUCUCAUUGCUUGCAGCCAGCAGGGGCUGGCAGACGAAGGUUUCAGGCACUAUGAGAGCAUGGUAUCAGAUUAUGGCUGUUCACCAAAUACGAAGCACAAAGCUUGCGUGGUUGACCUCCUUGGCCGUGUUGGUAAGAUGUCUGAGGCUGAAGAUUUCAUAAUGGGGUCUGGAUCAGAAAAUGACCCAAUACUUUGGCAUGCACUGUUGCGUGCAUGCAGAAUCCAUGGAGACAAAGAGAGGGGUAUAAAAACCGGAGAGAAAUUAAUGGAACUCGAGCCCUUUGCUGUUACUUCAUAUGUGGUGCUGUACAACCUCUACAUGGAUGCAGGCAAAAUCUCAUUGGCUAUGAAGACGAGAGGCCUAAUGAGAGAGCGAGGCAUGAGUAAGGAAGCCGGGAUUAGUUGGGCCGAGUUUGGGGGAUCCAUCCAUCAUUUUACUGACGGAAAUAACUCCUGCCCACACAAUAAUGCAAUUCACGCCAGAUUAGAAGAAUUGUUGGUCAGUGUGAAACAGAAGACCGAGCGUGGUGGAACGGACAUUUGGGAAUUAGGAUUCCAGAGCAGAAAGGAUGGCGAGAUCUCACUCGCCAGACAUGGUGAACUACUGGGUGUGGCUCUUGGGCUGUGCACUUUGCCAUCUGCUGCUCCUGUAACAGUCAUGAAGAACCAGAGGAUAUCCUGGGAAAGCCAUGAAACACUGAAGUUGCUAUCAGCAAGGGAAAACAGGGGAAUAAUCGUCAGAGAUCCGACUCAUUUUCAUCGUUUUGAUCAAGGUUCGUGCUCUUGCAGAGACUACUGGUAGACAUAAGUGAUAUAUAACCUUGGGAGUACAAACCUUAGAAGGGUCAGCGGAGGAAACUGGUGUAUAACCUUGGGAGUAUAACCUUGGCCAUUCUUGCAGCUGAGGUUGAAACUGGUGUCUGGCAGUUGGGAUCGGAGGAAUGAGAGGAUUACAGUAAAGUGUACAGUGGCAUUCCACUUAACAAAAGCUGUGCCAUUCCACUGAACAGAAGCUGUGAACAUGUAGCAUACGAUUGCGCUUGAUGAUGUCCAACUCCAGCCACGCAUCACUUUGCGAUUAAGCGUCACACGUCUCGAGCUGUUCAUCUCUGCUGAAACCGUGGGAUUGCUGGAGAUGUGAAGGCAGAGCUGCUUCCCUGCAUCUCAGCUAGAACUGUGGCUCAAUCGUAUACACUUGGGGCAUUUUGUGGGCAAAAUGUGCUGACCUGAACAGCCGGCAGCUGCUGUUUUUGCGCCAUGGUCGAAUCUGAUGCCCAUCUGCAGCACGUACUCUGUAGUCACACUGCUGUAGAAGCUGUGGUCAGAAGUGUUAAUAUUGAGAAGUUCCUGAUGGGGAGAAAAGCUCCUUGCGAAACGAAUGAGGUGCUACACUCUCACCAAGAUGAAAGAAUUCGCUGGGAUUUUUUUUGCACAGGCUGACGUAGGUUACAGCCGGUACCCUGGAGGAAGGAACAGCAGCCGCCGCACCGUAAACCCGCCUCGCAGCCUGCGACAGAAACACGUGCAGAAAUCAAGAAGACUGGAGAACAUAAUCUUAUGGCUGCCAGCCCCAAAAUCACUCUGAAAGAAACACCGGAGGACAGUGCGUUGCGGUUUCAGGCAGCAUUGGUAAGCCAUCAGGUGCAUAUUAUCAAAGGAAACGAAAGCCUGAUAAAAUUGGACGAACAAGGCGAAAUUCAUGCUUGCUGGAGAUAAUAAGGAAGAAGUACCUACCCUGGUGAGGGCGAGGCGGCAGGCCAUGUUGCUGCCGAUUUUGGGCCUGGUUUCCGCUGCCUCGUGUACUUGUGGUGAAUCUCUAGGCUAUAUUUAUAUGGCCCGAUCACAUAAUGUGGCGUGUGUCUAUCCGUGCAGUCCGGCUCUACCACGCAGACCUGCAGGAGCCGUGCAGGCAAAGGAGACACGGACCAUCGAUC